GGCCUGCCCACUGAAGUGAUCCUUUAAAGGGCUGCGGUAACCUGACCGUGCAAAGGUAGCAUAGUAACUUGCCUCUUAAUUGGAGGCUGGAAUGAACGGUCGGAUGAGGGAAAAGCUAUCUCUUUGUUGAACAUAAAAAUUUACCUUUAAGUAAAAAGGCUUAAAUCUGCCUAAGUGACGAUAAGACCCUAUAAAACUUCAUACAGACUUGACGCGCAUGCGUAUUCCAAAACGUCAAGGAAUAACCUGGCAAAGUUGUAUUUCGUUGGGGCGACGAGAAUAGAACCUAAAAACAUCUGUUUUAUUAACUAUCUAACUAUUAUUAAAACUAGUCCCCUUAUAAGGAUUAAAAAAUCAAGUUACUUUAGGGAUAACAGCGUAAUUUUCUUUGAGAGCCCAUAUCGACAAGAAUAGUUGCGACCUCGAUGUUGAAUUAAAAUAUCCUAUCUAAAGUGCAGCAGCUUAGAUAGUAAGUCUGUUCGACUUUUAAAAUUUUACAUGAUUUGAGUUCAAACCGGUGCAAGCCAG
rnacentral:rRNA from 1 species